rnacentral:rRNA from 1 species
UACGGAAGGCAGCAGUGGGGGAAUAUUGGACAAUGGGGGGAACCCUGAUCCAGCCAUGCCGCGUGUGUGAAGAAGUCCUUAUGGUUGUAAAGCACUUUUAAGCGAGGAGGAGGGGUACUGGUAUUAAUACUACCAGCUACUGGACGUUACUCGCAGAAUAAGCACCGGCUAACUCUGUGCCAGCAGCCGCGGUAAUACAGAGGGUGCGAGCGUUAAUCGGAUUUACUGGGCGUAAAGCGUGCGUAGGCGGCUAUUGAGUCGGAUGUGAAAUCCCCGAGCUUAACUUGGGAAUUGCAUUCGAUACUGGUUAGCUAGAGUGUGGGAGAGGAUGGUAGAAUUCCAGGUGUAGCGGUGAAAUGCGUAGAGAUCUGGAGGAAUACCGAUGGCGAAGGGCAGCCAUCUGGGCCUAACACUGACGCUGAGGUACGAAAGCAUGGGGA